GAUGAACGCUGGCGGCGUGCCUAAUACAUGCAAGUCGAGCGAACAGACGAGGAGCUUGCUCCUCUGACGUUAGCGGCGGACGGGUGAGUAACACGUGGAUAACCUACCUAUAAGACUGGGAUAACUUCGGGAAACCGGAGCUAAUACCGGAUAAUAUAUUGAACCGCAUGGUUCAAUAGUGAAAGACGGUUUUGCUGUCACUUAUAGAUGGAUCCGCGCCGCAUUAGCUAGUUGGUAAGGUAACGGCUUACCAGGGCGACGAUGCGUAGCCGACCUGAGAGGAUGAUCGGCCACACUGGAACUGAGACACGGUCCAGACUCCUACGGGAGGCAGCAGUAGGGAAUCUUCCGCAAUGGGCGAAAGCCUGACGGAGCAACGCCGCGUGAGUGAUGAAGGUCUUCGGAUCGUAAAACUCUGUUAUUAGGGAAGAACAAAUGUGUAAGUAACUAUGCACGUCUUGACGGUACCUAAUCAGAAAGCCACGGCUAACUACGUG
rnacentral:rRNA from 1 species